GAUGAACGCUGGCGGCGUGCCUAAUACAUGCAAGUCGAGCGAACGGACGAGAAGCUUGCUUUUCUGAUGUUAGCGGCGGACGGGUGAGUAACACGUGGAUAACCUACCUAUAAGACUGGGAUAACUUCGGGAAACCGGAGCUAAUACCGGAUAAUAUUUUGAACCGCAUGGUUCAAAAGUGAAAGACGGUCUUGCUGUCACUUAUAGAUGGAUCCGCGCUGCAUUAGCUAGUUGGUAAGGUAACGGCUUACCAAGGCAACGAUGCAUAGCCGACCUGAGAGGGUGAUCGGCCACACUGGAACUGAGACACGGUCCAGACUCCUACGGGAGGCAGCAGUAGGGAAUCUUCCGCAAAGGGCGAAAGCCUGACGGAGCAACGCCGCGUGAGUGAUGAAGGUCUUCGGAUCGUAAAACUCUGUUAUUAGGGAAGAACAUAUGUGUAAGUAACUGUGCACAUCUUGUCGGUACCUAAUCAGAAAGCCACGGCUAACUACGUG
rnacentral:rRNA from 1 species